ACUACAUCGAAGAGAACUGCUUUCUUGUGCUACGAUUUUACAUCAGCGAAGUACUACGAGCGACAAAGGACAAAGGCAGUCCUACAUGAGAAGUAAUGCAAGAGGCCUACUUCACCUGCUACAA
rnacentral:lncRNA from 1 species